UGCUCCACAAAGGCAACGACCGGCCAAGGCAGUGGCUGGCCCUGGAUUACACAAGUGCAGACACUCAACUAAGUGAGGAACAGGUGGCUAACGAGAUGGUUGAUUCUAAGCAGACGAGACUACACAGAAAUCUGGAAGACCAGGAGGAAGGCCAAGGCUCAGGUGCCCACAUGAUCAGCACAGCCAGGGUACCUGCGGAUAAGCCAGUACGCAUUGCCUUCAGCCUCGAUAAUGCCUCAGAUGAUACACCUCCUGAAGAUGCCAUUCCUCUGGUCGUUCCAGAAUUAGACCAGCAGCUACAGCCUCUGCCGCCUUGUCACGACUCCAUGGAAUCCAUGCAGGUGUUCACACAGCACUGCCAGAUAGCAGAAGAAUACCGUGAGGUCAAAAAGGAAAUCGCCCUGCUUGAGGAAAGAAAAAAGGAGCUCAUUGCCAAGCUGGAUCAGGCAGAAAAGGAGAAGCUGGACGCCGCUCAGCUGGCUCGGGAAUUUGAGGCACUGACGGAGGAGAAUCGGACAUUGAAGCUGGCCCAGUCCCAGUGUAUAGAACAACUGGAGAAACUUAGAAUACAGUAUCAGAAGAGACAGGGCUCGUCCUAACUUGAAAUUAUUCAAUGUGAGCGUAAGAGGUUGGUGGCUGCUAUGCACUGGCCAAAAGAUUUUUUAUUUUAAAAGGAUAGUGAGUAAAAUCUAUUGCUUCUCCUUAUUACCCACAUGGCCGACGUCUAUACUAACGAGUUUAAUGCUUGCCUGAUAUAGUUUGAGAGAAGGGUUAUUUUAUUUUAAAUAAGGCAAUUAAAACAAACCUAUUACCAGAUGUUUUCAGAGAUCAUAAUUCGUUUCCAAAGAUGUUUUUUUUUUCUUAUUUAGCAAGAUACAAUCAUACUGUAGAUCCGGGUAGAAAAUGAUAGAAAUAGAACAUUGACUGAUUCUACUAAGAACCAUGAACAGAAUUCAGCCAUGAAACAAAGUAGUAAGAUGCUCACUGCAGUUUCAUAUCUGUGUAUUUUUAAAUUUCACAUCUUUAAUAUUUCUACGGUGCUCUAAUCUGAACUGUCAGAAACUCCUCCAAAUAUAUUUAUGUUCAUCAGAGUUAGGUUUAAUCCCUCAAUGAUUGAUUGUACUAAGAAUAAAUGGUUGCAUAUCAUAAAAGCUUUCUCAUGAAAAUAUUAGCGGAAAGCAUGUUUGUGCCAGAAGCACAUUUGCCAGUGCUAACUUGCUGUUGUAAUAAAAAGCUGAUAAGGCUGCAUUUUCUCCAUGCCACGUUACCUCCUGGUAAACAUCUCUGCCUUUGCUUGUGUGUGUUCUGGGAGAAAUGGAAAAGUAUUGUUUGGACAUUACUUUGCUGACUCUGUAGCAGUGCUCUUGCAGCUGCAAAAUCACUGUGGUUUGGAGCCAGGCCAGAAGAUGCAGGAAUUGACAUACCCAGAGACCUGGGCAUCAAGACGAGUUCAAGAAGUAGAAGAUGGAAGAAAAGUGAGAUACUUCCUUGGAGGAUGGGUGCUUCUGACCUGUGGCAAUAAUGAAUUCUUUUUUUUUUAAACAACAUCUUUAUUGGAGUAUAAUUGCUUCACAA